rnacentral:rRNA from 1 species
GACGUAGGGCGCGAGCGUUGUCCGGAUUUAUUGGGCGUAAAGCGCACGUAGGCGGAUCGUUAAGUCGGGGGUGAAAUCCUGGAGCUCAACUCCAGAACUGCCUUCGAUACUGGCGAUCUCGAGUCCGGAAGAGGUGAGUGGAACUCCUAGUGUAGAGGUGGAAUUCGUAGAUAUUAGGAAGAACACCAGUGGCGAAGGCGGCUCACUGGUCCGGUACUGACGCUGAGGUGCGAAAGCGUGGGGAGCAAACAGG